GUGCGCGGCUGCGAUUUCCCCGACCGCUGGCGGUGCUGCCAGGGAGGGAGGAGGUUCGGGUUUGCCCUGAAGUAGGGAGCGACGCAUAAAGCGAAUUCUCUGCGGUGCCUGGGCCUGCCUGCGGUGGUUCGCCAAGGCAGGCGGCAAACUGGUUGGGCUGGUACGGAGCGGAGUGCCUCCCGUGGGCAGACACUGCUCUACCGAGAAGAGUUUGGUCAGCCCUAAGAGGAUUUAAGAGGAAGCUGCAUGUCACGUCAACUUAGACUGCAAAUCUUAACCCAGCGUGUGAAAGGAAUACAUGGAUGUAUCUCUUUCGGAGUACUGUGUGUGUUCCUUCUUAACAGCAACGCUUUUCCAGCUGAUUUCUUUAAACCAUACAGAAUGCUUUUAGUUGAUGUUCUGCUCUCUGUGUGAUGUUACCUUUUGCAAGUGCUGGUUUUAGUGCAGAGGAGCUCAGUACUCUGCAUGCUCUCAAGGUUAGUGUUCUAUUGUUUAAAAUACCAUAACG
rnacentral:lncRNA from 1 species